rnacentral:rRNA from 1 species
AGCCACAGUCAUAUCACCCUGCAGCCCAUGCAUGAUAGGUUACUUACUGAAGCUGAGCAGGGCUGAGACUGGUUUGAACCUGAAUGGGAGACCACAUGGGGGAAAAAACUAGAUUGCUGUUGGAA